AUUGAACGCUGGCGGCAGGCCUAACACAUGCAAGUCGAGCGGAUGAAGGGAGCUUGCUCCUGGAUUCAGCGGCGGACGGGUGAGUAAUGCCUAGGAAUCUGCCUGGUAGUGGGGGAUAACGUCCGGAAACGGGCGCUAAUACCGCAUACGUCCUGCGGGAGAAAGUGGGGGAUCUUCGUACCUCACGCUAUCAGAUGAGCCUACGUCGGAUUAGCUAGUUGGUGGGGUAAAGGCCUACCAAGGCGACGAUCCGUAACUGGUCUGAGAGGAUGAUCAGUCACAAGGGAACUGAGAAACGGUCCAGACUCCUACGGGAGGCAGCAGUGGGGAAUAUUGGACAAUGGGCGAAAGCCUGAUCCAGCCAUGCCGCGUGUGUGAAGAAGGUCUUCGGAUUGUAAAGCACUUUAAGUUGGGAGGAAGGGCAGUAAGUUAAUACCUUGCUGUUUUGACGGUACCAACAGAAUAAGCACCGGCUAACUUAGUG
rnacentral:rRNA from 1 species